UUCUGACAUUAUAUCUCAAAUUCUGACUUUAUAUCUCACAAUUCUGACUUCUGAUAUCUCACAAGUCUGACUUUUUUCUCGCAUUUUUCAGUUUAUAUCUGACAAGUCUGACUUUAUUUCUCUCAAUUCUGACUUUAUUUCUCGCGAUUGUGAGUUUACAUCUUGUAAUUGUGACAUUUUUCUCACAAUUUUGAGUUCAUGUCUCACGAUUUUCAUUUUAUUUCUCGCAAUUACGAGAUUUUUCCCGAAGUUUAGACGCCCACUUGACAUUUAGUGAGUUACAAAGAAUGCACCAACAAAGCAUCAAUCCUUCUCCAUAAAUCUGCUGUAUACAGUAUGAACAAUCUCACCAGCUGGUCAAGAAAAGGAAGCCUGAAGGGCGAGUCAGUAAGGAAACAUGCUGGAGUCAAUGGACAAAAAAAAGACGUUGCCCGAGGGUAAAUCUGUUGAAACCGAACGUUUAUUCGACUCCGAAGCUGAUCUCAGUCAUUAUGUGUACGGUUUACGCAGCAAAGUUAUCGUCGGGCUUUUUAAAAAAAUGUACAAUAAACCAUGCUGAUUUCAAAACUACACAAAAUACGAUAGCGUUGUAUGAUUACGAUAUAACGUAACGACAAAGUUUACACCGGCUUCACGGAUUGAUCUGGCUUCACAUUUACCUUCGAUAACAAUGGGACCAUCUAUGGAUAUGCACAAACACUCGAAUAUGCAAAUGCUCCCAUGCCCUCCUGCCACCUGGAGUAUCCUAAUGAAGCUAACAUUUAGCUAACACAGCUAGUUCGCUAAUUCACUGCUCCUACAGUCAUUUGUGCUGCAUUUGUAUGUUUGUUUGUUUGUUUGUCUGUUUGUUUGCUUGCAGGAUCCAAACCUAUCAGUGAAUUACCACAACAACCGAAAUCGUGUUCGUCACUAACGUUUACUACGAUAGCCAUCUAAACGUUUUCCGGUAGCACGUCAUCCUCUAGUCUCGCGUGCGAUUGGAUUCGAAGCCGUGGGGUUUACGGACCCUAGUGACAUCACUGACUCUAACUGAAAUAGUACGCAAACAAAUAUCAUCGGCGUCAGCCAUUCAGGCGACGGAAGCCGUUUAAACAUCGACGUUUUUGACUUCGGCCGUACAUUAAAGCUAAAGACCGCCUACGACGCACAAAGCACCGGUUCAUUAAGGC
ensembl:lncRNA